rnacentral:lncRNA from 1 species
GUUCUGAUUUUUAAUUGAUAGAGUAGGGGGAUAGCGCGAACGCAGUCCCCCACUACCAAAAAUUGCAUGCCCCAUCUGCCCCAGUUUGGGGUAGUGGCAGGGGUCAGCACGAGCGCAGUGCAAUGCUCGCGCCUCUCCCUGGAGAGGCCACCUGGCUGAUCAUGGUAAUCUCGGCACCAGGUAAGUAUGCUUUGAGCUGGUCUCGCUUUAUCGCCCCAUCGUUCAGGACUCACUGAAAUUCUCUGGCUACUAGCAAACUACUCGAAUGAAUAUUUCACAAAUUCAACAUUCAUAGCUUUAAUUUAUAAUGAGUUUAUUUACACUUUCUUCUUUUACAUAUGUCCUUUAAGUAGGCAAAUCAUAUGUAUGCCAAAAUAAGUUAUAGAAGCAUAAAAAUACACGCUAUUUGCUUUGUCAACGCUUACGUCAAGUUUCACAUGGCUGACUGGUGGUGGCGCAGCUUACCACCCCUUCUGCCGCCAUUGAUAGCGCAUCAUAGAAUGUCAUAGAGGUGAUGCCGGUAGGCGUUUGUUUUGCUGCGCUUUCUGCCGUUGGUGCUUUGCACGGCUUUCCCAUGGCUUUCCAUUGAGGCAGGAUGCAGUUGUAUGUUCUAUCGGCGUGCCACCGUGCCAUGCUUGCUAGCAUGUAUCGCUAGCCUUCACCUGUUUCACCUGAAUAGCUCGCACGCGCAGUUGAUCAAGAACACGGCUCCGGAUCGGAUCGUAGUCUGUACCACGGUGGUCCGUACUGAAUGCGUGUCGAGUAAUCCAGCAAUCCAUGGCAAUAAGUGAUGAUGUCUGUUUGAAAUAGCGGGCUGUAAUUGAAUUUCUGCGAAACGGUCAGACAAUAAACUCCGACUGCUACGUUGA